rnacentral:rRNA from 1 species
GACGAACGCUGGCGGCGUGCCUAAUACAUGCAAGUAGAACGCAGUUGCGAACGGGUGAGUAACGCGUAGGUAACUGCCUCAUAGCGGGGGAUAACCAUUGGAAACGAUAGCUAAUACCGCAUACUGUGAGAUGGACCUGCGUUGUAUUUGAUAGUUGGUGAGGUAAAGGCUCACCAAGGCGGCGAGACAUACCCGACCUGAGAGGGUGAACGGCCAAACUGGGACUGAGACAAGGGCCAGGAUCCUUCGGGAGGCAGGAGUAGGGAAUCAUCGGAAAUUGGCGGAAGGCGGGACGAGCAACUGCGCGUGAGUGAAGAAGGUUUUCGGAGCGGAAAGCUCUGUUGUUAGGGAAGCGGUAACUAACCAGGAAGGGACGGCUAACUACGUGCCAGCAGCCGCGGUAAUAC